UGGGGAAUUUUGGACAAUGGGCGAAAGCCUGAUCCAGCCAUGCCGCGUGAGUGAAGAAGGCCUUCGGGUUGUAAAGCUCUUUCGGCCGGAACGAAAUCGCUUGAGUUAAUACCUUUAGCGGAUGACGGUACCGGAAUAAGAAGCACCGGCUAACUACGUGCCAGCAGCCGCGGUAAUACGUAGGGUGCAGGCGUUAAUCGGAAUUACUGGGCGUAAAGCGUGCGCAGGCGGCCUCUUAAGUCAGAUGUGAAAUCCCCGGGCUCAACUCGGGAACUGCGUUUGAAACUGGGAGGCUAGAGUACGGCAGAGGGGGGUGGAAUUCCACGUGUAGCAGUGAAAUGCGUAGAUAUGUGGAGGAACACCGAUGGCGAAGGCAGCCCCCUGGGCCUGUACUGACGCU
rnacentral:rRNA from 1 species